GAAAGCAUGGGGAGCAAACAGGAUUAGAUACCCUGGUAGUCCAUGCUGUAAACGAUGAGUGUUCGUUCUUGGUCUACUGAUAUCGCACUCUUUUGGGCUGACUUAAGCUCGGCUUAAUGCUUAAAUUACUGCAAAGGUAGUGUGACUCGAUUGUUUUCUUCAAGUUCCAACAAUCGUGAAAAAUAUGUGAUGAUCAGGGGCUGAGCUAACGCGUUUGUUCCUU
rnacentral:ncRNA from 1 species